GACGAACGCUGGCGGCGUGCUUAACACAUGCAAGUCGAACGGAAAGGCCCGGCGUUUGUGGGUUGCUCGAUUGGCGAAGGGGUGAGUAACACGUGAGUAACCUCCCCUUGUCUUUGUGAGAACUUUUGGGAACUGGGGCUAAUACCGCGGAGGAGCUCCUGAAGCAUGUGGGUGGUUGGAAAGUUUCGGCGGUGGGGGCUGGACUCGCGGUUUAUGAGCUGGUUGGUGGGGUAGUUAAGUACCAGGCCUGGGACGGGUAGCCGGCCUGAGAGGGUUACCGGCCACAUUGGGACUAAGAGACGGCCCAGAAUCCUACGGGAGGCAGCAGUGGGGAAUCUUGCGCAGUGGGCGGAAGCCUGAUGCAGCAGUGCCGCGUGCGGAAUGACGGCCUUCGGGUUGUAAACCGCUUUCGCAUGUGACGAAGCGUGAGUGACGGUAAUGGGUAAAGAAGCAACGGCUAACUACGUG
rnacentral:rRNA from 1 species